CCAUACCAUUUUAUACUUGUUUUUGUUGCUCACUAUCAUAAAUGUGUAGUUCAUAGAAACUUUUGAAGUGAAUUUAUUGUAUUAGAUAUCCAUUAUUGACAAAUGAUUCGUCAAGCGAAGGCGGCUUUUGUUGAGACAAAAUCAAGGGGCACAAGUGCAUUCCAUAGAAAGGAGUAUUGGCUAGCAGUGUAUUGGUAGACAGAGGGAAUAUUCACAUUUAUAUUAGAAAUGUGCAUUUGCCAUAUCAUGAUCUAGAAACGAAAUAGAGUACAAGCCUUCAUUUUUCUUUUGGCAAAGAAAGCAUUAAGAGGUUUUGGGGAGAUUCUUGUUCAAGUGAAGAAAUUUGUUGAAAGAAAAGAUAUGGGUGAUGUGCAGUCAAUACUACCACGGGAGAUUAUUUAGUCCUGUUGCACGCCGUCAAUGGUCAGAUGGUAGGAAGAUCAGAAGCCGAAAAUGUGUACAUGGGCAAAUGAUUUUCAAAGGAUCACGAUAACAUGAAUUGUUGUCGCAUUUGCUUAAAUGGUUUC